UAAUACUCCAUAGAUUAGAGACACUGGAAUGUUCUUUAGUCGAAAGUUCUGGCGCCUUAGGAUGGAUCUGCGGUCGAUUAGUUUGUUGUUGGGGUAACGGCCCAACAAGCCUGUAAUCGAUACGGGUUGUGGGAGCAAGAGCCCGGAGAUGGAAUCUGAGACACGAUUCCAGGCCCUACGGGGCGCAGCAGGCGCGAAAACUUUACAAUGCAGGAAACUGUGAUAAGGGAACUCCGAGUGCCCGUAUACGCGGGCUGUCCAGGUGUUUAAAAAUCAUCUGAAGAAAGGGCCGGGCAAGACCGGUGCCAGCCGCCGCGGUAAUACCGGCGGCUCGAGUGGUGGCCACUAUUAUUGGGCUUAAAGCGUCCGUAGCUGGACCGAUAAGUCUCUUGGGAAAUCCGCCGGCUCAACCGGCGGGCGUCUAAGGGAUACUGUUAGUCUAGGGACCGGGAGAGGUGAGAGGUACUCCGGGGGUAGGAGUGAAAUCCUGUAAUCCCCGGGGGACCACCGAUGGCGAAGGCAUCUCACCAGAACGGCUCCGACAGUGAGGGACGAAAGCUGGGGGCACGAACCGGAUUAGAUACCCGGGUAGUCCCAGCCGUAAACUAUGCUCGCUAGGUGU
rnacentral:rRNA from 1 species